CUAAUCAGACUUAAGAUCUACUCAACAAGAGGGGAACACGCCAGGCAGCCCUGAUAUCAGCUUGAGAUAAACUGGCUGUGUUUCAGCUUAGAUGAAGUCAGUGCUGUCCUGACCAUCAUAUACAUCCCUGUUUCUCACUUAAAGUAUUUUGAUGAUACCCAGGACCACAAUUUUGUAAGUCCUCAAUACUUGCUGUCCUGGAUCUGUCUGCUUCCUUCCUAUGUCUCGUGAACCUUGAGCUGGCUCUCAUAGAGUGGAACUGGGUUGUUUUGGAACAGCCCUGAAGAUGCGUAUUUCCUCAGCCCAGAAAAACUCAAGACUAAAAGAAGACAAACAUUGGAGGUUCCACGUUGAAGUUCCGUUCAGGAGAUGGAAGGACCUUGAGUCGCUGGGGCAGCACAGAGAAGAAUUCCUUGGGACGACUGUUUAACACAGGACACCUGGACUGGAUUUCCCAUUGGGCUCAGAACAAAUUGGAAUUGGCAAAAAUGGAGAGUGAGGCUGUGGAAUGAUAAUAGCCGAGGUCCACACGACUGCUCGACACCACAGGAGCCCAGAGAGCCAAGAAAGGCUACGGCAGUGCAACGAGAGGGUUCAAAUCAGC